rnacentral:lncRNA from 10 species
CCAUGCUGUCAACAUCCACCAGAGAGCAGAGCAGCUCCAACCCCCACAUCUUUCAUGCUAGAAAUAGAUGGAGACAGUAACACAGUCAGAUCCUUGGCCAAACAACGCGGAUUGCAGUUCAUUUCAAAGAGAAUGAUGGCUCAGAAUGCCCCAGUGGUCUCCACAUCAAUAAAUGGAAUCUCCAUUCAUCUGGUUGCUUUGCUCAAAACCCCAAAGCACCAUGCUAGUUUCCUCCCUGCUCCCAGAUCAUUAGAGUGUCACAUAAUUUGAAGCCCUGCUACAUGAUGAUCCUGCUGUCUUCAUCCUCCUACCCACAACCCAAGUUUUACUCUUGUCGUCCCGGCUGGAGUACAAUGGUGCAAUCUUGGCUCACUGCAACCUCCACCUCCUCGGUUCAAGCGAUUCUCCCGCCUCAGCCUCCCAAG